rnacentral:tRNA from 1 species
ACUUUAAUAGCUUAUUUUUAGAGUAUAAUAUUGAAGAUAUUAGGGAGAUAUUUUUAUCUUAAAGUA